GAUGAACGCUGGCGGCGUGCCUAAUACAUGCAAGUCGAGCGAACGGACGAGAAGCUUGCUUCUCUGAUGUUAGCGGCGGACGGGUGAGUAACACGUGGAUAACCUACCUAUAAGACUGGGAUAACUUCGGGAAACCGGAGCUAAUACCGGAUAAUAUUUUGAACCGCAUGGUUCAAAAGUGAAAGACGGUCUUGCUGUCACUUAUAGAUGGAUCCGCGCUGCAUUAGCUAGUUGGUAAGGUAACGGCUUACCAAGGCAACGAUGCAUAGCCGACCUGAGAGGGUGAUCGGCCACACUGGAACUGAGACACGGUCCAGACUCCUACGGGAGGCAGCAGUAGGGAAUCUUCCGCAAUGGGCGAAAGCCUGACGGAGCAACGCCGCGUGAGUGAUGAAGGUCUUCGGAUCGUAAAACUCUGUUAUUAGGGAAGAACAUAUGUGUAAGUAACUGUGCACAUCUUGACGGUACCUAAUCAGAAAGCCACGGCUAACUACGUGCCAGCAGCCGCGGUAAUACGUAGGUGGCAAGCGUUAUCCGGAAUUAUUGGGCGUAAAGCGCGCGUAGGCGGUUUUUUAAGUCUGAUGUGAAAGCCCACGGCUCAACCGUGGAGGGUCAUUGGAAACUGGAAAACUUGAGUGCAGAAGAGGAAAGUGGAAUUCCAUGUGUAGCGGUGAAAUGCGCAGAGAUAUGGAGGAACACCGGUGGCGAAGGCGACUUUCUGGUCUGUAACUGACGCUGAUGUGCGAAAGCGUGGGGAUCAAACAGGAUUAGAUACCCUGGUAGUCCACGCCGUAAACGAUGAGUGCUAAGUGUCAGGGGGUUUCCGCCCCUUAGUGCUGCAGCUAACGCAUUAAGCACUCCGCCUGGGGAGUACGACCGCAAGGUUGAAACUCAAAGGAAUUGACGGGGACCCGCACAAGCGGUGGAGCAUGUGGUUUAAUUCGAAGCAACGCGAAGAACCUUACCAAAUCUUGACAUCCUUUGACAACUCUAGAGAUAGAGCUUUCCCCUUCGGGGGACAAAGUGACAGGUGGUGCAUGGUUGUCGUCAGCUCGUGUCGUGAGAUGUUGGGUUAAGUCCCGCAACGAGCGCAACCCUUAAGCUUAGUUGCCAUCAUUAAGUUGGGCACUCUAAGUUGACUGCCGGUGACAAACCGGAGGAAGGUGGGGAUGACGUCAAAUCAUCAUGCCCCUUAUGAUUUGGGCUACACACGUGCUACAAUGGACAAUACAAAGGGCAGCGAAACCGCGAGGUCAAGCAAAUCCCAUAAAGUUGUUCUCAGUUCGGAUUGUAGUCUGCAACUCGACUACAUGAAGCUGGAAUCGCUAGUAAUCGUAGAUCAGCAUGCUACGGUGAAUACGUUCCCGGGUCU
rnacentral:rRNA from 1 species